UACGUAGGGGCGAGCGUUGUCCGGAAUGAUUGGGCGUAAAGCGCGCGCAGGCGGUCCUUUAAGUCUGAUGUGAAAUCACGUGGCUCAACCACGUGCGGUCAUUGGAAACUGGAGGACUUGAGUGCAGAAGAGGAAAGUGGAAUUCCAAGUGUAGCGGUGAAAUGCGUAGAGAUUUGGAGGAACACCAGUGGCGAAGGUGACUUUCUGGUCUGUAACUGACGCUGAGGCGCGAAAGCGUGGGGAGCAAACAGGAUUAGAUA
rnacentral:rRNA from 1 species